GACAGGUGCUGCAUGGCUGUCGUCAGCUCGUGUUGUGAAAUGUUGGGUUAAGUCCCGCAACGAGCGCAACCCUUAUCCUUUGUUGCCAGCGGUUCGGCCGGGAACUCAAAGGAAACUGCCAGUGAUAAACUGGAGGAAGGGGGGGAUGACGUCAAGUCAUCAUGGCCCUUACGAGUAGGGCUACACACGUGCUACAAUGGCGCAUACAAAGAGAAGCGACCUCGCGAGAGCAAGCGGACCUCAUAAAGUGCGUCGUAGUCCGGAUUGGAGUCUGCAACUCGACUCCAUGAAGUCGGAAUC
rnacentral:rRNA from 1 species